ACCCUUUUGGCAUAGUGGUUAAGUGUUCGGCUGCUAACCGAAAGGCUGGCAGUUCAAAUCUACCAGGUA
rnacentral:tRNA from 1 species